UAAUGAUUUUUUGAUUUCAUGUCACUUCCCUAUUCGAAUUGUCCGUCAAAUUUGUCAGUUUUGGUUUUGUCCAACAAUCUGUUCCAAGUCAUUUCUAAAUUUUAUUGUGUUCGGUGUAGUUACAAUAAUCCCCCAUAAUGGAUACAAAUGAACGAGAAUAUGAUUUCCCUUUUAAUUAUUUGUACAAAGUAUUAGUUUUUUUCUUAACAAAAGUAAUCAAGAUAAGCACGUUGUUGGUACUGGUAUCCAACAUCGCUUGGAUCGCGAUGGCUUUUUAUUGCUUAAAAAAAUACAACGAAAGACACCGCAAUGAUUUAAUGCAGUUUGCUUACGUGACUUUCGUAAUAAGUGCCAUGAACAGCGCCAUGAACAUCACAGAACUUUUCUACGAAAACGUAAUGACGUCUAUGAGAUCUCUUCUUGAGCUGCUCCUCGCAGCCCUUGCAUUUCCAUGCUUAACUACUGCGGUAUGGCUCAAUUUUGAUGUCGCUCAAAAAGAAGUGGCAUGGCUCCAUACAGUCAUUGGGCUAAUACCCACUUAUAUUUUCUUAUUCCAACACUACACAAGGCAAGAUUUAAUCGACUUCACAGUCGUUAUGAACAUGGUGUCGUUAAUUGGAGUCGGGUUUUUGUAUCAAGAUUUAUUUGCAAUGGCAGCCUCGGUACUGUUCUUUUUGUGCUAUUGCGGGUUUUUCUUCCGAAGUGAACUAGUUUACGAGCCGGGGUUAAAACAAAUUUUUAAUUACUGCAUGGCGGCGUUUACCUUUUGCGGCUAUAAGGCCGUUACGUGAGAGUUUGGUGUUAUAAUGUUUGGCUAAAUUUAUAAAUGAUGGUCGAAAAACUGUGUAAUUAUUAAUUUUUGCAUUUAGUAAUAAUAAAAAAUACUUAGCAGA